rnacentral:rRNA from 1 species
GAUCAUGGCUCAGGAUGAACGCUAGCUACAGGCUUAACACAUGCAAGUCGAGGGGAAACGAUAUUGGAAGCUUGCUUCCGAUAGGCGUCAACCGGCGCACGGGUGAGUAACGCGUAUCCAACCUGCCCAUCACUUGGGAAUAACCUUGCGAAAGUAAGACUAAUGCCCAAUGACAUUUAUAGAAGGCAUCCGAAAUGAAUUAAAGAUUUAUCGGUGAUGGAUGGGGAUGCGU